rfam:Glossina brevipalpis unplaced genomic scaffold Scaffold18, whole genome shotgun sequence.
GGGGUAGGUUUAGUACGUAGGCGCCAUGGAUGGCGAAUCGUGCAUGCUACUGGCACGGGCCUGUAGUAUCUACGAAGAUUCCCAUCUCC